AACGAACGCUGGCGGCAUGCCUAACACAUGCAAGUCGAACGAGACCUUCGGGUCUAGUGGCGCACGGGUGCGUAACGCGUGGGAACCUGCCCUUAGGUUCGGAAUAACUCCCCGAAAGGGGUGCUAAUACCGGAUAAUGUCUUCGGACCAAAGAUUUAUCGCCUUUGGAUGGGCCCGCGUUGGAUUAGCUAGUUGGUAGGGUAAAAGCCUACCAAGGCGACGAUCCAUAGCUGGUCUGAGAGGAUGAUCAGCCACACUGGGACUGAGACACGGCCCAGACUCUUCCGGAGGGAAGAAGUGGGAAUAUUGGACAAUGGGCGAAAGCCUGAUCCAGCAAUGCCGCGUGAGUGAUGAAGGCCUUAGGGUUGUAAAGCUCUUUUACCCGGGAUGAUAAUGACAGUACCGGGAGAAUAAGCUCCGGCUAACUCCGUG
rnacentral:rRNA from 1 species